rnacentral:lncRNA from 1 species
ACAAGAAAAAACAGUGUUUGGGGAGAUAACUCUUACAACGUAAAGUAUUUUGUUACGCGGUUGUCAAUUUUUAAAGCGUAUAAACUAUACGAUAUCAUAUUCCAAAUAUCUAAGCGACAUCUUUUGAAACAUCAAUACUACGCAAGAAAAAAAUUAGGCGGAAGAAAAAAAAAAAAAUAAUAAUUAAAAACCAAUUGUUCAGAGAACAAUUGAAGGUCUUUCCACCCAAUAAAAUAUAUUUGAAUGUUAAAAAUAGCAAACCUCAUUUAGAAAUGUAAUUUUCAGUGCUAAAUGAUAGUUUUGUGUAUUCUAAAUUUCAAAAUAUAUACUUUUGCAUAUAAUAAGUAGAAAAAGUAGCCACUUCCUGUUUACCAAAUUUAUUUCCAGUAGUUUUUCUAGAUCAUAUGGCUUACAACACACAAAGUUCCAUAGUUUUAUCAUGCAGAAAUUUAAAGUUAAAGCAAAGGUCAAAAUCAAGAACGUCAAAUCAAACUUAAACCUUGACCACAAUUUCAAGUUCAUGAAAAAUGGGCCUCAAAUCAAAAGACUAAGUCUCUACUAUAUAUUGUUAAUGAGUUAUAUAACCAUACAGCUAAUACUAGAUAACAAAGGGGCAAAAACUCCCAGUUAAUGUCUACGUACCUUUUCAACUUAAAUUUGAAAAACCUGUCACAACAAACAAUUCUCUAAAAACACCAGAUUCACAUUUUUAUUCUUUGCUGACUAAUCAUUAUCAACUGUUUCACCUCAUGGCAUUUGCAAUUUUAUAUAUAAAACAAUGCACAAGAGCUAAAACAAUUGAGAUCUAAAUCUCUCUUCUCACUGCUAAGAAAAACUGUCUUGGAAAUGUUGAUUUUU